rnacentral:rRNA from 1 species
CACGUAGGGGGCAAGCGUUGUCCGGAUUUAUUGGGCGUAAAGAGCUCGUAGGCGGUCUGUCGCGUCGAUCGUGAAAACUUGGGGCUUAACCCUGAGCUUGCGGUCGAUACGGGCAUGACUGGAGUUCGGCAGGGGAGACUGGAAUUCCUGGUGUAGCGGUGAAAUGCGCAGAUAUCAGGAGGAACACCGGUGGCGAAGGCGGGUCUCUGGGCCGAUACUGACGCUGAGGAGCGAAAGCGUGGGGAGCGAACAGG